AUGUCCGAUGACGAAGACAAUCCGGUCGACAGUGAGAGCAACAUGUUUGACGGGAAUGAUGUGUCAGAUGGCAUGGGCUUCGGAAUGCUAACCGAGGGUGAGAGAUCCUUGGUUGAGCGCGUUAGGCAAGAGCUGAAGCAUGAGCUUAAACAGGGGUAUAGAGAAAAGCUUGUGGACAUCAGGGAGGAGAUACUGCGGAAGCGAAGAGCCGGAAAGCUCCCAGGGGACACGGCGUCUACCCUGAAAGCUUGGUGGCAAGCCCACGCCAAAUGGCCAUACCCAACUGAGGAGGACAAGGCGCGGCUGGUGCAGGAGACGGGGCUGCAGCUGAAGCAGAUCAACAACUGGUUCAUCAACCAGCGCAAGCGGAACUGGCACAGCAACCCUACCUCGUCCUCGUCAGACAAGAGCAAGAGAAAAAGGUGA
rnacentral:rRNA from 1 species